AAUGAACGCUAGCGGCAGGCCUAAUACAUGCAAGUCGAACGGUGUCUUCGGACAUAGUGGCGCACGGGUGCGUAACACGUAUGCAACCUACCUUACAUUGGGGGAUAGCCUUUCGAAAGGGAGAUUAAUACCGCAUAAGACAGUAGCUGGGCAUCCAGCAGCUGUUAAAGAUUUAUCGAUGUAAGCUGGGCAUGCGUCCAGUUAGCUAGUUGGUGAGGUAACGGCUCACCAAGGCAAAGAUUGGUAGGGGAACUGAGAGGUCAAUCCCCCACACUGGCACUGAGAUACGGACCAGACUCCUACGGGAGGCAGCAGUAGGGAAUAUUGGGCAAUGGACGCAAGUCUGACCCAGCCAUGCCGCGUGCAGGAUGAAGGCGUUAUGCGUUGUAAACUGCUUUUAUACAGGAAGAAACGACUCUUGCGAGAGGCAUUGACGGUACUGUAUGAAUAAGCACCGGCUAACUCCGUGCCAGCCGCCGCGGUAAGAC
rnacentral:rRNA from 1 species